UAGGUAAAUCGCUCCUACUUUCUUGGUUC
rnacentral:piRNA from 1 species